UCACGGUAGGGAAUCACGUGACUUUUACGGUUACGCGUACAGACAAUAUGGCGGCCUAAAAACCUCGCUUCACAUGUGUUUUUAAGUUUGCAGAUAUGGGCGGUUCCAGUUCGGGUAUUGUUUGUGGAUAAUGUUGGGCAACAUUUGUCUUAAUGACCACAUAAACUGGCUACUCGGCACAGGACUUUGUAAAUGUUGUGACAAAUCGAAACGUGACAGAUCCUGGUCCUGGCUGAAAUUUAAAGUAUUACAGCUGUAGCUUCUAUACCAUAAAUUUAACAUGGAAAGGACUGUUCUUGGGAAAAUGCUGACGUAACUGAUGGGAGCAGUUUUUCUUACCAAUCAUAGAAGCAGUAGAAGUAUUCAAACACCAUCAUGACACACUUUAGACAUACCAAGAGAGCUCUAGAAGAAGAACUAGUGGUAGAUUGGAACAGAUUGUAGCUUAAUUGUUAAACUAAAAGGACUUCUUAAAUCGUUUGAAUUUUAGCUACACUUGAACUGUAGUUUUGAAAUAAAAUAGCUGAAGUAUUUAAUAGUGUCUUGAUUUUUUUGUUAAACUCUGUUCCGUACAGUACUUUGCUUUAUAUUUAUAUUAAAGUAUGUUGAAAUGACAUUGAAACUUCAACGUUGUGCCAACGUUGAACUUCAACGUUUUUUAAACUUUCAAAUUCGAACAUAAAUCUAACGUUAUUUCAACGUUGAAAUCUGAUCAUACUUCAACGUUGUUCACCGUUGAUGUGCCUGCUGGGUUACUUCUAUCAAGGACCUAUUUGCGGUAUUUUUAAUAUUAUUCAAAAUUCUAUGAAAGUUUGAUGCUAAAUGCAUCAAUCAUGAUUU